UAUUUUUCCAAAGUGUUUAUUUGCUUUGGCAUCAGUAAAUAUAUAAAUAUACCAUCUUUACAAAUCAGUUUUGUUUUGACUAUUAGAUAUGUGAAUGAGGAAGGGAAGAUUCAAACAUUUUUAUUUUGAGGCUUUAUGACAUUUACUUCAGUGAUGUUGCAUAAUAAUCUGGAGCAUGUUGCUAAAAUCUAUCACCAUUCAAUUUCAGCCCAUUAUCUUUAGAAAACAGCUAGAGAAGAAAUCCCAGGUCUCAAACAUCAUGGAUCUUCACCAAAGAUUCACUUUCAAUGUUAAGAUACCUUCAGGAAAAACAUCAUCAUCUCUUCAAAAGUGUUGAUGCCAGCUGGUUCCAGCUAUUACUUGUAAGCAGCUCUGCAAAUCCAGCAACUGCUCUCACUGACUCCCAGGGACACGGAGCUUCAGGACGUGGAGUGACUUGUGCAGGUUCCUAGUGCUAUGAGGAAGGCUUCAGGAGACAGUCGAGUAAGAAUUUGAUUCUAUGUUUACUUCUGUUGUAGUUCAUGAAUU
rnacentral:lncRNA from 1 species